GGGUAGGCGGAGGAAGACUCCAUUCCGCCCGGCGCUGAGCUGGGCGGGUCUGGGCGUUGGCGGGCGGUACCCGCCGGGGCGGAUUUCUUGGCUGGGUCGUUGAAAUAGGAGUCAGCGUCCCCUGAGGAACCUGUCAGUCAGAGCAGCACCUCUGGAUUUCCUCCCGGGACGUUGAAUCCUCUCACACUCGGUAAUGACCUUAGGUCUCGGGAGGGUCUGGUGAGCAGAGCGGCAAGCCGCGCAAAGACGCGGCUUUAAAAGCAAGGUUUUAUUGGAAACACUUGAACCAACGGUUCUCAAAUCCCAGCUGCUCUUUUAGAGCGACGUUCAAAAUAACCAAAUCCGAACACAAUGAGAGAAUUCAGACGAGCCCUUGGAGUUGACUUUAUUUAGAGAAAAUUGAGGUUGUAAAAUAAAGUAUCGGUUUCUUCA